AACGCUAUCAGCUUGGAAAAUAGUUUCAUUUAUAUUUUCUGUACAAUGUAACUGCUGUAAUUGGCUUAACUACUGUGAAAAGAUUUAAUAGCUUUACUCACCAAGCCCCCUGAAAAAAAUGGAAUAGGACUAGUUCAUAGGUGUCAGCUACUUCGGAUCUUGAAAAGAUCUCACUGCAUGAAGCUGCAAAUCCUGGGGAUUUGCCCCAUACAUACUACAAACUAGUAUUUUUGAAGUAUC